CCUACGGGGGGCAGCAGUGGGGAAUAUUGGACAAUGGGGGGAACCCUGAUCCAGCCAUGCCGCGUGUGUGAAGAAGGCCCUCGGGUUGUAAAGCACUUUCAGUGAGGAAGAACGCCUGGUGGUUAAUACCCAUCAGGAAAGACAUCACUCACAGAAGAAGCACCGGCUAACUCCGUGCCAGCAGCCGCGGUAAGACGGAGGGUGCGAGCGUUAAUCGGAAUUACUGGGCGUAAAGCGCGCGUAGGUGGCUUGAUAAGCCGGUUGUGAAAGCCCCGGGCUCAACCUGGGAACGGCAUCCGGAACUGUCAAGCUAGAGUGCAGGAGAGGAAGGUAGAAUUCCCGGUGUAGCGGUGAAAUGCGUAGAGAUCGGGAGGAAUACCAGUGGCGAAGGCGGCCUUCUGGACUGACACUGACACUGAGGUGCGAAAGCGUGGGUAGCAAACAGGAUUAGAUACCCUGGUAGUC
rnacentral:rRNA from 1 species